rnacentral:lncRNA from 1 species
GCACGGUCUCUGAAGAAGAUGCAUUGGGAGUUCUUUCUGGCAAAGGUAAUGACAUACGCAUCUGUGACAGCAUCCCAAGAGUGAGCCUGGUUUCUGGAAAUCCAUUCUGACUCUGUGACAGCGGGGAUGGAUGUGACCUUGCCCGUGGUUAGAAAACAAAUUUACUGAGAUCUAAUCCAGGAUCAUAUGCUGCCUUUAGGUGACACAUCCCUUUAGUCUCCUUUAAUUAGGAGCAGUUUCUCAGUGUUCAUCUUCCAUGAAGUCGACAUUUUUUAAGAGUAUAGGUGUCAGAUCUUUUCCAAGAACAGCAGAAAAUGAUCG